rnacentral:rRNA from 1 species
AGUGAACGCUGGCGGUAGGCCUAACACAUGCAAGUCGAACGGCAGCACAGUAAGAGCUUGCUCUUACGGGUGGCGAGUGGCGGACGGGUGAGUAAUACAUCGGAAUCUACUUUUUCGCGGGGGAUAACGUAGGGUAACUUACGCUAAUACCGCAUACGACCUACGGGUGAAAGCAGGGGAUCUUCGGACCUUGCGCGAUUGAAUGAGCCGAUGUCGGAUUAGCUAGUUGGCGGGGUAAAGGCCCACCAAGGCGACGAUCCGUAGCUGGUCUGAGAGGAUGAUCAGCCACACUGGAACUGAGACACGGUCCAGACUCCUACGGGAGGCAGCAGUGGAGAAUAUUAGACAAUGGGCGCGAGCCUGAUCCAGCCAUACCGCGUGGGUGAAGAAGGACUUAGGGUUGUAAAGCCCUUUUGUUGGGAAAGAAAAGCAGCAGGUUAAUACCCCACUGUUCUGACGGUACCCAAAGAAUAAGCACCGGCUAACUUCGUG